rnacentral:rRNA from 1 species
CCGUUCCCAUACCGAACACGGAAGUUAAGCUCUUUAGCGUCGAUGGUAGUUGGGGUUAGCCCCUGCGAGAGUAGAACAUCGCUAGGC